AUACGUAGGGUGCAAGCGUUGUCCGGAUUUAUUGGGUUUAAAGGGUGCGUAGGCGGUCUAUUAAGUCAGUGGUGAAAUCCAACAGCUCAACUGUUGAUGUGCCAAUGAUACUGAUGGACUUGAGUACAGACGAGGUAGGCGGAAUUGACAGUGUAGCGGUGAAAUGCAUAGAUAUUGUCAAGAACACCGAUAGCGAAGGCAGCUUGCUAGCCUGUAACUGACGCUGAGGCACGAAAGUAUGGGGAUCAAACAGGAUUAGAUACCCUGGUAGUCCAUACAGUAAACGAUGAUUACUCGAUGUUGGCGAUACACAGUCAGCGUCUUAGCGAAAGCGAUAAGUAAUCCACCUGGGGAGUACGCCGGCAACGGUGAA
rnacentral:rRNA from 1 species